UACGUAGGUGGCGAGCGUUGUCCGGAUUUACUGGGCGUAAAGAGCGCGCAGGCGGUCGUGCAAGUCGCGUGUGAAAGCCCCCGGCUCAACUAGGGAGGGUCACGCGAUACUGCUCGACUCGAAGGCAGGAGAGGGAAGUGGAAUUCCCGGUGUAGUGGUGAAAUGCGUAGAUAUCGGGAGGAACACCAGUGGCGAAGGCGACUUCCUGGCCUGUUCUUGACGCUGAGGCGCGAAAGCUAGGGUAGCAAACGGG
rnacentral:rRNA from 1 species